GAAUUCACUAGUGAUUCAGGCCUAACACAUGCAAGUCGAACGGCAGCACGGGUGCUUGCACCUGGUGGCGAGUGGCGAACGGGUGAGUAAUAUAUCGGAACGUACCUUAUUGUGGGGGAUAACGCAGCGAAAGCUGUGCUAAUACCGCAUAAUCCCUAAGGGGGAAAGCGGGGGACCGUAAGGCCUCGCGCAAUUAGAGCGGCCGAUACCUGAUUAGCUAGUUGGUGAGGUAAAGGCUCACCAAGGCAACGAUCAGUAGCUGGUCUGAGAGGACGAUCAGCCACACUGGGACUGAGACACGGCCCAGACUCCUACGGGAGGCAGCAGUGGGGAAUUUUGGACAAUGGGGGCAACCCUGAUCCAGCAAUGCCGCGUGAGUGAAGAAGGCCUUCGGGUUGUAAAGCUACUUGUGUCAGGGAAGAAACAGCAGCUCUAACACAGUUUGCGAAUGAC
rnacentral:rRNA from 1 species